rnacentral:rRNA from 1 species
CCUAUGGGUGGCAGCAGUGAGGAAUAUUGGUCAAUGGGCGGAAGCCUGAACCAGCCAAGUAGCGUGCGGGAUGAAGGCCCUACGGGUCGUAAACCGCUUUUGCACGGGGAUAACACCCUCCACUUGUGGAGGUCUGCAGGUAACGUGCGCAUAAGAGCCGGCUAAUUCCGUGCCAGCAGCCGCGGCAAUCCGGAGUCCCGCGCGGUAUCCGGUUUCAGUGGUCUUAAAGGGAGCGUAGGCGGGCGUUCAAGUCAGCUGUAAAAUGGCGCGGCUCAACCACGCCCCGCAGUUGAAACUGGAAGCCUUGAGUGCACAACAGGCAGGCGGAAUUCGUGGUGUAGCGGUGAAAUGCAUAGAUAUCACGAGGAACCCCGAUGGCGAAGGCAGCCGGCCGGGGUGCGACUGACGCUGAGGCUCGAAGGUGCGGGGAUCAAACAGGAUUAGAUACCCCGGUAGUC